rnacentral:rRNA from 1 species
GAUGAACGCUGGCGGCGUGCCUAAUACAUGCAAGUCGAGCGAACGGACGAGAAGCUUGCUUAUCUGAUGUUAGCGGCGGACGGGUGAGUAACACGUGGAUAACCUACCUAUAAGACUGGGAUAACUUCGGGAAACCGUAGCUAAUACCGGAUAAUAUUUUGAACCGCAUGGUUCAAAAGUGAAAGACGGUCUUGCUGUCACUUAUAGAUGGAUCCGCGCUGCAUUAGCUAGUUGGUAAGGUAACGGCUUACCAAGGCAACGAUGCAUAGCCGACCUGAGAGGGUGAUCGGCCACACUGGAACUGGGACACGGUCCAGACUCCUACGGGAGGCAGCAGUAGGGAAUCUUCCGCAAUGGGCGAAAGCCUGACGGAGCAACGCCGCGUGAGUGAUGAAGGUCUUCGGAUCGUAAAACUCUGUUAUUAGGGAAGAACAUAUGUGUAAGUAACUGUGCACAUCUUGACGGUACCUAAUCAGAAAGCCACGGCUAACUACGUG